UGGGGAAUUUUUCGCAAUGGGCGCAAGCCUGACGAAGCAACGCCGCGUGGAGGAUGAAGGCCCUAGCGGUUGUAAACUCCUGUCUAGCGGGACGAAGGUAUACAAGUCGAAUAGACUUGGAUAUUGACUGUACUGCUGGAGGAAGCUCCGGCUAACUCCGUGCCAGCAGCCGCGGUAAUACGGAGGGAGCAAGCGUUACUCGGAAUUAUUGGGCGUAAAGGGCGCGUAGGCGAUCUGACAAGUCGGCUGUGAAAGCCCAGAGCUUAACUCUGGAAGAGCAGCUGAGACUGUUGGAAUUGAGUACAGGAGAGGAAGGCAGAAUUCCCGGUGUAGCGGUGAAAUGCGUAGAGAUCGGGAGGAAUACCAGUGGCGAAGGCGGCCUUCUGGACUGUAACUGACGCUGAGGCGCGAAAGCUAGGGGAGCAAACGG
rnacentral:rRNA from 1 species